rnacentral:rRNA from 1 species
GACGAACGCUGGUGGCGUGCUUAACACAUGCAAGUCGAACGGAAAGGCCCUGCUUUUGUGGGGUGCUCGAGUGGCGAACGGGUGAGUAACACGUGAGUAACCUGCCCUUGACUUUGGGAUAACUUCAGGAAACUGGGGCUAAUACCGGAUAGGGGCUCCUGCUGCAUGGUGGGGGUUGGAAAGUUUCGGCGGUUGGGGAUGGACUCGCGGCUUAUCAGCUUGUUGGUGGGGUAGUGGCUUACCAAGGCUUUGACGGGUAGCCGGCCUGAGAGGGUGACCGGCCACAUUGGGACUGAGAUACGGCCCAGACUCCUACGGGAGGCAGCAGUGGGGAAUAUUGCACAAUGGGCGGAAGCCUGAUGCAGCAACGCCGCGUGCGGGAUGACGGCCUUCGGGUUGUAAACCGCUUUCGCCUGUGACGAAGCGUGAGUGACGGUAAUGGGUAAAGAAGCACCGGCUAACUACGUG